rnacentral:lncRNA from 1 species
UGUAAAUUAGCAAAAUGGACUUGAAAGGCCCAAGGCCCACAUCCAAGAAACAAACCUAAUACUAAUAAAAAUAAUAUAUGAAAAUUAAAUAUAAAAGAAAAGAAAAAUAAUUAAAAAAAAAACAAAAUAGAAAGAGUGGGGGAACACGUCACUUUAAAGAGGAAAGAGAUGUUUCUUUCAAAAUUUUAAGACAUCCCAAUCCACUAAUUAUGUCGUGACAUGUGGUGAGGUUAAAAAGAAUCAAAAGAAAGAAAAAAGAAACAGCAAGAACAAAUGCUCUCUCUCAUUAUCUCGUCAUCUCACAUCACACACAAAACAAACUCUCCCCUACCAUUUCCAAUUAAAUUUUUUACUUCCAAGAUCCACUCAAACAAAACUUUUUACAUCUCUAUUCCCUCAAUUCCAAAUCUUAAAGUAAAAAGAAACAAGAUUUUUGAACAAAGCUCACACUCUUGAUUUCGGGAACACGGAGGCGACAAGCAUAAACAUACAAACGCGUUAAGAACAUAGGAAGAAAUAUAUUGUUUCAGAGCAGUGGCGGUGAUGGCAGUUGGUGUUGCGGUGUUGGUUCCGAGACUUUUUGGUAGUUGGUAAUGAUAUGAGUUGGUGGUAUUUAGAGAUGAUUAAUGGUGAUUUUCACAUGAGGUUCAUAUGGUGGUUUAGGUUGAUAUGUGAGAGAGGAAAGGUGGUGAUUUAUGGUGGUUCUUGUGAGCUUUAUUUAUGUAGAGAAGAAACAUGAAAGUGUGCUUAAGUAGUUAUGUAGUGACUUUCAUGGAGGUUUGGGUUGGUAUGCAAAUUUCUAUUGUUUUUUCUUCUUCUGAAAAUUGAGUGAGAUACCAUUUGGAUAAGGGGCGCCGUUUCUCUCAUUGGUGACCCCCCAUCAUGCAUUGGCCAAUGGGUUUAUAUAGUAGAAAAUGUAGGGUUUCAAUUUUAAAUAUUCCCAAAAUGUCCAUAUGAGAUAUGUUAGUGAGAUUAAAAGAGGUUAAAUAAUUACAAUGAAAUAAAUUAAAUGUUUUUUUAUAAAGACAAAUAAAAUCAAAUGACCAAAGAUUUGUCUAUAUUUAUUUUUUCUAAAUACUUUGACAAAUAGGUAAAAAUAAAAGGGCUUAAAAUGAAUAAAAAACUGAGUGUAAAAAUGCUCAAAAAAAAUAAACUGAAUGCACCAAAAUGAUCAGUGUGAAAUAAACUUAUUGGAAAAAUACAGCGUUUCUUUUAAUUUUAAAAUAAAUUUGACUGAUUAAACAGGCUCGAGCUGAUUAAAAAGUGGCCGAAAAAUUAGCUGAAAAAUAAAUCGAGCAUACCAGAUUAAACUACGCGAAACGUAGACUAAUAAAGUUGAUGUCUGGAAGCUUGAUUUUAAAAUUUUCGUCCACUGAUUUGACGCACAUUCGACGAUUAAUUCAAUCGGUUUUCCUGUAGAUCCGAAAAAAUUAUUUCGACUGAUAUUCUAGGCACUAUGCGGUAUGGAAUGCAUGGUUUGCUAUGUAGACAUGCAAUAGCUAUGAUGAAUGUAUUGAAUCAGCAAUUCAGGGUCAAAAUUGGGGUGUGACAGUUGCCCCUAUUUAAGUAUCUUCAACUAGAGAAUAUGAAGCUGGAAACUCUUCAUAUGAUCAUAGUGGGAGAUAGUUAAAUACUAAGAAGACCCGGAUUUUGAUCCUGAAUCCCUAUGACAUGAUAUGAUAUGAUAUGCGCUGAUGCAAGAUUCUCUUUGUUGUAAUUUUUAUCUGCUAGGGAUAUGGUGAACCCUUAAUAGGAGAUGCUACUAGACAGACCAAUCUGUUGGGAAUGUUGAUGGUCCACAGGGAGACAGAUAAAUGGCAAACACCAACUCGCUGGGGAAAACAAUCCUGCUGGAGAAUCAGACACACACUAGAGAGUAUUCAAAGUGAAAUUCGAUGAACGACACUUAGAAUACAAGAGAUUUCGGCAGUAAGUUCACACAUGACUUACUAAACCCGAAUAUGAAAAUUUUCUACAACAGGUUCAUAUAUGACCUGAUAACACUGAAACAAACAUAGAGAAAGAUUCUUCAAAACUGGUUCAUAUAUGACCUGGCAAUACAGGAAUAAAGCUCGACAAUAGGUUCAUAUAUGACCUGACAAUGCUGGGGAAUAUCAAGAAUCUGGUAAUACUGGAAUAAAGCUCAACAACAGGUUCAUAUAUGACCUGACAAUGGAAUAAAGUUCAAUAACAGGUUCAUAUAUGACCUGAAUAGCACUGAACAACAGGUUCAUAUAACUGGACUAUUACCUUAUUUCAAGUUGUUGUCCAACAUAUAUGACCUGAAUAGCACUGAACAACAGGUUCAUAUAUGACCUGAUAAUGGAAUAAAGUUCAAUAACAGGUUCAUAUAUGACCUGAAUAUCACUGAACAACAGGUUCAUAUAUGACCUGAUAAUGGAAUAAAGUUCAAUAACAGGUUCAUGUAUGACCUGAAUAGCACUGAACAACAGGUUCAUAUAUGACCUGAUAAUGGAAUAAAGCUCAACAACAGGUACAUAUAUGACCUGAAUAACACUGAACAACAGGUUCAUAUAUGACCUGAUAAUGGAAUAAAGCUCAACAACAGGUUCAUAUAUGACCUGAAUAAAGCUCAACAAUAGGUUCAUAUAUGACCUGACAAUGGAAUAAAGUUCAACAACAGGUUCAUAUAUGACCUGAAUAGCACUAAACAACAGGUUCAUAUAUGACCUAAUAAUGGAAUAAAGUUCAACAACAGGUUCAUAUAUGACCUGAAUAACACUGAACAACAGGUUCAUAUAUGACCUGAUAAAGCUCAACAACAAUUGGACUCUUAACCGUAAGUAAUGUAUUAUAACCAACUUUUAACGGAUUUUGCCAACAACAAUUGGACUUGAAAAUGACUGCGAAAACCGGAUGUGGGUUUAAGGGCACCAAAUACAAAUUGGAAUUAGAGGUCAAAGGGUAUAGGAUCAACAACAAGACCUGGGUCAAUGCAAAAUGAGCACGAAGUGCAUUUCGGCUAUGCAUGAUUUGGAUUUUUUUAUGCAUGGUAUAUGAAUGAUCAUGAUAUGAGAAUGCUGACACUUUAGUGGAUAGGGAGUUUGUAAAGACUAUUUAUGGAGAUCAUGAUUCCUCAACACCGAGAACUCAACCAAAUAUUUUAUGAUAGAUGUUAUCAAAGGAGAAUUCUAUCAAGCUUGACAACCACAACUUAUAUCAUGAUUCCUCAACACCGAGAACUCAACCAAAUAUUUUAUGAUAGAUGUUAUCAAAGGAGAAUUCUAUCAAGCUUGACAACCACAACUUAGCCAAUGGGAUCCUUUUGGAGGAUUAAUGAAUCAUUCUAGCAUAAUUUCCGGGCACUCAUCUUAAACUCAAUAGUUGUUGACGUAUCGCAGAAUUUGUUUGAGCAGUUUGAAAGCAUGAAGAAAGAGGUUUUUCCCCUCUGUGGCUCAUCUUUCCCUAGUCUGUUGGGACUUUGAAAAUGUUCACCUUGAAAGUGAGUUUGGAAACAACUUGCCAUGAGACUACCUCGAGAUGGCUUGCCCCAAGUGUUUGAAACUUGUAAUGGUCUGAACUUGACUAACCAAAUGUUGGAAUGGUAGACUCUUGGUUGAAUUUCCUUGGAUAGUUGGACUUAUUGAGCUCUGAGGUGGCUUGCCCCGGUCUGAGUCUUGAAGCAAAUUACUCUUGGCGAGAUGACCCUUAGGGUGAUUAGCUCGAAUUAACUGAUGCUCAAGGUGAUUUCCCUAUUUGGAUUUCUUUCACUCUUAUUCAUUUUCCUCAACUGCUAUGAUUGGAAUUUCUUUGAUGCUAGUGUUUGAUCGCAAUUAAGAUUGUGCAUUCAAAAAUGGUUAAUUUAAUGCAAUGUUUAUGCAAAAAUCUGAACCAAAGGUUUAUUGAUAUGAAUGGGUGAAAUACGUUGAAUGAGUCGUUUUGAUAGCGAACACAAUGGGCGUGCAGAUCACGUUCAUUUCACAUGUAUGCAAGUUGGUGCCAUAAUGAUUGACAAAAAUCGCUAGGAGGUCAGGUUUACACAACCUGUUAUUGUAUGCUUUCAAUAAACCCUGUUCUCAAAUUAGGUCUUUUUGUAAGGGUUGUAAUGUGGUCUGGUUCACGGUUUGUUUGAAACCAAGGGAUAUAAGGCUUCAAAAUUUAUUUUUUACCCACCCCUUCUUCUUGAUGAUCUCCAGUUCUAUGUUCAGUUAAUUCAAUACACGCAUUCGACUUCGAAGGUGCGAAAGUGAAAAUGGGGAUUCAAGGCGAGAUUUUCUUGAAAUGGCAGUCACCUUAUUUUGUUUUUGUUGAGGAUUUAAUGACCUCUUUUGAUUGAUUUUCUUCAUCCCUGAUUUUGCCUGGACCGCUUCUUUGAAGCUUUCGGUCCAUCGGGAUGCCCUGACUUUUGCCUAAGUCAUUUUGUGGUGUUUGACUUAGCGGACUUUUUCUAUAUUUUUUAACGCAUGUUGACUGCCACAUUAUUGGUGGAUGAGGAUCAACCAACACUAAUUUUAGCUUUUCUCAACUCCUUUGAUACUUCAACAUGUGCGCGAAGGAUAACCUAUGGUUGAACCUAAUUGGAGGAUGUACAUAUGGACGAUUUUUGAAAGAUCGAAUGCACGAUCAAACUAUCUGAACAUAACUACCCUGCCCCAGGUUAAGAUUAAGGGUUUUAGAUCUGAAAUAAACACCAACUUCUAGGCUCAAAGUGGUUGACUAGGGAUUAACUCCUUAUCUCUUCAGUGUUUGGGGAUUUGAAACAAUGCCUUACAUCAUCGACAAGGUUUUACUCAAAAGCAUACCACAACAAUUUCAGGUGUUCCGUUUUCAUCAUCCUCCUUCCAAUCUUUGUUAACACAAAGGUUUGAUAAACAAAAGUGAAUGAGAGGAGUAUUUUUGUUUUUAACAUAAAUGAAAAACGAGUGAAUACGAAUGGAUUAAUUCAAAAGAUGCAUAAACAUUUCAUUAAUCUUACCAAUUCAAAGAAAACAACAAUGCGUAAAAGCAAUUAACAAUCAACAUGCGAGGACACUGCAAAAGAAAUGUUGAAACAACCAAAUGAUUGCCAGCUUUAGGGAAUAACUUCUUCAAACUUGAUCCAUUAACCUAGGGGGACACCCCUUGAGACCUUCGCACUUAUUCGGCCGAUGGGUUAACGUUUACCACCAAGCUUCCUUCUUGAAAGGCUAUGUACUCGUUGUCAAUUAACUGUUGUACUUUGGCUUUGAAAGUGUUGCAGUCUUCGGUUGAAUGCCCUUCUGAUCCAGCAUGAUAUCCACAUUGCACAUUUGGGUCAUACCCGGGUGGGUAAGGUUGUGGAAUCGGCUUGAGAGACUUAGGAACCACCAACGAGUUUUGAAUUAGAGGUUGUAGAAGUUGGCUAUAUGUCAUGAGGAUUAGAAAUCCAAGGCGAUAUCUCAAUGCUCUUACCAGGAAAUGAUGAUAUCUCAUUAGCCACCUCCUUGACCUCUUCCUUGUGGUACAAAACCUUGAGGGGUUUCAGGGGUCCUUUCCCUUUCACAUUACUUGGCCCAGAAAUCAAGAUAUAUGUACCUGAGCCUUCCUCCUUGAGUGUUGGUGACGUUAUGUCAAUCAAUCAUUGCAGCUUGAGCUUAAAACUCUUGCAUUCCUCGAUGGAGUGCCCCAAUGUUCCAGUAUGGUAUCCGCACUUGACCUUCAGGUGAUCUUCUUCAAAGACUAAGCUCUUUUUGUUAAUCGGUUCUCGUACCAAGGCUUUCAGCGCUAAGCAAGAAUCCAGGUUAUGUCCCAAUGCUCCUUUAUGGAAUUCACAUGUUGCAUUUGGAUUGUACCAUGGCAGGCAUGGUGACGUAGGUGUGAGAGCUCGAGGGGUCACCAAAGCAUUCUGGAUCAGUUGCGGAUAGAGCUUUCUAUAUGAUGAGGAGUCGCCACAUAGAAUUUCCCUUGACUUAGGGUAACACCAAGUGGACGUGGAGUAAUAACUCCCUCCGCUGCAGCAAUAGGUAUGGGAUGACCCUCUUUUUUCAAUAAGGCUUGUAGGGUUUCCAGGAACCAUCCCAUUUGGCUCUUCAAAAGAUUGAGUUCCUCCUUCAAUGCCUCUUGACUUUUCCUUAGCUCGUCCAUCAUCUCUUGAGACAUGGUUCUUUGUUCUAAACGCGUGUCAGGAAUCACUUUGCUGAUAUGGACAAAGGAUGGAUGAGUUUUUUUGUAUUUUGUUUGGAAAAUGACAUGCGUUAUGGUGAGAUGCAGAUGCAAUGAAUGCAAUGCAAGCCAUGCAUAUUUGUUUUUUCCUCAAUACAUUGGUUCAAAAGUCUGAGGUACUGAUGAAUCUGAUUACUUUCCAAGAAUAGGUUCUCACCGGGUAUGAUCUAGGGUUUCAAAAAAGUUCCUAGAGUCAUGGAUCCAUUAGAGUGUUUGCGGCCUAUGGCAACUUACUUGUCGGGCAUCAACUCCAUCCAAAGAAUCUACUCUAAGUGAGGUUCUCGCAUCAAUCCAACGAGAAAUUCAUCUCGCAGACCCACACUACGCAACCAUCUUUCCUAGUUGGACAAAGAACUAAGGUUCUACAAAUGGUUCUCAGAGUCAUGGAUCCUAAAGAAAAUAUCGAAGCUUACGGCAACUUACUUGCCGAGCGACAACAUCCUCUCAAGAAUCUACUCUAAGUAAGGUUCUCGUACCGACCCAACGAGAAAUACAUCUCGCGGACCCGCACAACUCAACCUCGUCCUAUCUUAUGUUUUUACUUGAGACUCGGGUAAAAUGUCUUUCCCACAAGGUUUGCAAUCAGAGUAUCUCCAAGUAGCAAAGCAUAAUUGAACCAAUACAACAAAUUUAUAUCAAUAUGACAAUAAAGAUAGCAAAAUCAAGAAAGAAAAUCCACACAAGUAAAUAAACAAAGGAACACAAACGACCUAACUAGGCUUGACUCACUUAGGGAGAAGACUCCCCAGCAGAGUCGCCAUCUGUCGCACCUCGAAAAAUGGGGAUACGACUUUGAGCGAAGCGCGAUCGCAUGCUCGCAAUGAUGGACUGAACAGAGUCGCCACCGAACUUUAUUUAUUCCUAAAAAGGAAAGGGGAAAUAUCGAUAAAACCCUUAAAAGAAAGGAUAAGAUAUGAUCAUCGCAACCAAUAUCAGGGUUCUGGAGUCGGUUACGCGAGGGGAAGGUAUUAGCACCCCUCACGUCCGUUGUACUCAACGGGAACCAUUAGGUUGGUUGUGUGCGUUAGUGUUAGUUGAAAUGUUAGGCUUUUCGAAUUAUUAGGUGGGAAAGAAAGAAAGGAUGGCCUUGAAGGCUCCAAGGCCCACAUCCAAGAACAAACCUAAUACUAUAAAAAUAAUAUAUGAAAAUUAAUAUAAAAGAAAAGAAAAAUAAAAAAAAAACAAAAUAGAAAGAGUGGGGAACAGUCACUUUAAAGAGGAAAGAGAUGUUUUUUCAAAUUUUAAGACAUCCCAAUCCACUAAUUAUGUCGCUGACAUGUGGUGAGGUUAAAAGAAUCAAAAGAAAGAAAAAGAAACAGCAAGGACAAAAAUGCUCUCUCUCAUUAUCUCGUCAUCUCACAUCACACACAAAACAAACUCUCCCUACCAUUUCCAAUAAAUUUUUACUUUCAAGAUCCACUCAAACAAAACUUUUUACAUCUCUAUUCCCUCAAUUCCAAAUCUUAAAGUAAAAGAAACAAGAUUUUUGAACAAAGCUCACACUCUUGAUUUCGGGAACACGGAGGCGACAAGCAUAACAUAACACCGUUAAGAACAUAGGAAAGAAUAUAUUGUUUCAGAGCAGUGGCGGUGAUGGCAGGUGGUGUUGCGGUGUUGGUUCCGAGACUUUUUUGUAGUUGGUAAUGAUAUGAGUUGGUGGUAUUUAGAGAUGAUUAAUGGUGAUUUUCACAUGAGGUUCAUAUGGUGGUUUAGGUUGAUAUGUGAGAGAGGAAAGGUGGUGGUUUAUGGUGGGUUCUUGUGAGCUUUAUUUAUGUAGGAAGAAACAUGAAAGUGUGCUUAAGUAGUUAUGUAGUGACUUUCAUGGAGGUUUGGGUUGGUAUGCAAAUUCUUUGUUUUUUCUUCUUUGAAAAUUGAGUGAGAUACCAUUUGGAUAAGGGGCGCCGUUUCUCUCAUUGGUGACCCCCAUCAUGCAUUGGCCAAUGGGUUUAUAUAGUAGAAAUGUAGGGUUUUCAAUUUUAAAUAUUCCCAAAAUGUCCAUAUGAGAUAUGUUAGUGAGAUUAAAGAGGUUAAAUAAUUACAAUGAAUAAAUUAAAUGUUUUUUAUAAAGACAAUAAAUCAAUGACCAGAUUUGUCUAUAUUUAUUUUUCUAAUACUUUGACAAAUAGGUAAAAAUAAAAGGGCUUAAUGAAUAAAAACUGAGUGUAAAAUGCUCAAAAAAAUAAACUGAAUGCACCAAAUGAUCAGUGUGAAAUAAACUUAUUGGAAAAAUACAGCGUUUCUUUUAAUUUAAAAUAAAUUUGACUGAUUAAACAGGCUCGAGCUGAUAAAAAGUGGCCGAAGAAUUAGCUGAAAAAUAAAUCGAGCAUACCAGAUUAAACUACGCGAAAAGUAGAUAAUAAAGUUGAUGUCUGGAAGCUUGAUUUAAAAUUUUCGUCCACUGAUUUGACGCACAUUCGACGAUUAAUUCAAUCGGUUUCCUGUAGAUCCGAAAAAAUUAUUUCGACUGAUAUUCUAGGCACUUCGGUAUGAAUGCAUGGUUGCUAUGUAGACAUGCAUAGCUAUGAUGAAUGUAUUGAAUCACGAUUCAAGGUCAAAAUUGGGUGUGUGACAGUUGCCCUUUUAGUAUCUUCACUAGGUAUUGAAGCUGGAACUCUCAUAUGAUCAUAGUGCGGAGUAGUUAAUACUAGAGGACCCGCGAUUUUGAUCCUGAAUCCUAUGACAUUGAUUGAUAUGAUAGUGCGCUGAUGCAAGAUUCUCUUUGUUGUAAUAUUUUAUAUGCUAGGGAUAUGGUGAACCCUUCAAUAGGAGAUUGCACUAGACAGACAAUCUGUUGGGAAUGUUGAUAGGUCCAACAGGGAGAAGAUUAAUGGCAAAACCAACUCGCUGGGGAACAAUCCUGCUGGAGAAUCGACACACACUAGGAGUAUUUCAAAGUUGAAAUUUCGAUGACGACAUUCGAAUACAAGGAUUUGGCGUAAGUUCACACAUGACUUACUAAACCCGAAUAUGAAUUUUCUACAACAGGGGUUCUAUAUGACCUGAUAACACUGAACACAUAGAGAAAAGAUUCUUCAAAAACUGGUUCAUAUAUGACCUGGGCAUCAGGAAUAAGCCGACAUAGAGUUCAUAUUAUGACUGACAUGCUGCGGGAUAUCAAGAAUCUGGUAUACUGAAUAAAGCUCAAACAACAGGUUCAUAUAUGACCUGACAAUAGGAAUAAAGUUCAAUAACAGGUUCAUCAUAUGACCUUGGAAUAGCCACUGAACAACAGGUUCUCAUAUAUGACUAGAUAAUGGGAUAAAGAUUCAACAACAGGGUAUAUAUGACCUGAAUAGCACUGAACAACAGGUUCAUAUAUGACCUGAUAAUGGAAAUAAGUUUCAAUAACGGUUUCAUAUAUGACCUGAAUAUCACGACCAACAGGUUCAUAUAUGACUUGAUAUAUGGAAUAAAGUUCAUUAAAGGUCAUUGUAUGACCUGAUAGCACUGAAACAACAGGUUUCAUAUAUGACCUGAUAAUGAAUAGCUCAACAACCAGUUAAUAUUAUGACCUGAUACAACUGAACAACAGUUCAUAUAUGACGAUAAUGGAUCAAGCUCAACACAGGUCUCAUAUAUGACCUGAUAAUAAAGACUCAAAUAGGCUUCAUAUAUGACCUGACAAUGGAAUAAAGUUCACAAAGGUUCAUGAUAUGAACCUUGAUAGACUAAACAACAGGGUUCAUAUAUGGACCUAUAACUGGAAUAAAGUUCAAACAACAGGUUCAUUAUAUGAACCUGAAUAACACGACAACAGCGUUCAUAAUUGACCUGAUUAAAGCUCAACAACAAUUGGACUUUAACGGUAAGUAUGUUUAUAACAACUUUUACGGAUUGCCCAACACAUUGGACUUGAAAUGACUGCGAAACCGGGAUGUGGCGUUUAAGGGCACCAAAUACAAAUUGUGAAUUAGAGGUCAAAGGGUAUAGGAUCAACAACAUAGCCUGGGUCAAUUGCAAAUGAGCACGAAGCUGCAUUUCGGGCUAUGCAUGAUUUGGAUUUAUGAUGGGUAUAUGAAUGAGCAUGAUAUGAUAAUGCUGACUUUAGUUGGAUGGGAGUUUUUAAAGGACUAUUUAUGGGAUUCUUUCUCAACCGGGAGGAACUUCAACAAAUAUUUUUAUGAUAGAUGUUAUCGGGAUUCUUUCAAGCUUUUGACACACACUUAGCCAAUGGGUCCUUUUGGGGAUUAAUAUAGAAUCAUUCUAGCAUCAUUUCCGGGCACUCAUCUUAAACUCAUAGUUGUUGACGUAUCGCAGAUUUGUUUUUGAGCAGUUUGAAAAGAUGAGGAAGAGGUUUUUCCUCUGUGGCUCAUCUUUCCCUAGUCUCGUUGGGACUUUGAAAUGUUCACCUGUUGAAAGUGGUUAUUGGAACAACUGCCAUGAGACUACCUCGAGAUGGCUUGCCCCAAGUGUUGGAAACUUGUCAUGGUCUGACUUGACUAACCAAAUUUGUGAAUUGUUAGACUCUUGGUUGAAUUUCCUUGAUAGUUUGACUUAUUGAGCUCUGAGGUGGCUUGCCCGGUCUGAGUCUUUGAAGCAAAAUUACUCUUGGCGAGAUGACCCUUGGUGAUUAGCUCGAAUUACUGCAUGCUCAAGGUGAUUUCCCUAUUUGGAUUUCUUUCACUCUUAUUCAUUUUCCUCAACUGCUAUGAUUGGAAUUUCUUUGAUGCUAGUGUUUGAUCGCAAUUAAGAUUGUGCAUUCAAAAAUGGUUAAUUUAAUGCAAUGUUUAUGCAAAAAUCUGAACCAAAGGUUUAUUGAUAUGAAUGGGUGAAAUACGUUGAAUGAGUCGUUUUGAUAGCGAACACAAUGGGCGUGCAGAUCACGUUCAUUUCACAUGUAUGCAAGUUGGUGCCAUAAUGAUUGACAAAAAUCGCUAGGAGGUCAGGUUUACACAACCUGUUAUUGUAUGCUUUCAAUAAACCCUGUUCUCAAAUUAGGUCUUUUUGUAAGGGUUGUAAUGUGGUCUGGUUCACGGUUUGUUUGAAACCAAGGGAUAUAAGGCUUCAAAAUUUAUUUUUUACCCACCCCUUCUUCUUGAUGAUCUCCAGUUCUAUGUUCAGUUAAUUCAAUACACGCAUUCGACUUCGAAGGUGCGAAAGUGAAAUGGAUCCAAGGCCGAGAUUUUUCUUGAAAUGGCAUGUCACUUAUUUGUUGUGAGGAUUUAAUUGACCUCUUUUGAUUUGAUUUUCUUCAUCCCUGAUUUUGCCUGGGGACCAGCUUCUUUGAAGCUUUCGGUCCAUCGGGAUGCCCCUGACUUUUGCUAAGUCAUUUGUGGUGUUUGACUUAGCGGACUUUUUCUAUAUUUUAACGCAUGUUGACUUAGCCACAUUAUUGGUGGAUGAGGAUCAACCAACACUGAAUUUUAGCUUUUCUCAACUCCUUUGAUACUUCAACAUGGUGCGCAGAAAGGUAACCUAUGGUUUGAACCUAAUUGGAGGUGUAACAUUAUGGACGAUUUGAAAGAUCGGAAUGCCACGAUCAAACUAUCUGAACAUAAUCCCAUGCCCAGGUUAAGAUUAAGGGUUUUAGAUUUUCUGAAAUAAAACACCAACUUCUAGGUCAAAGUGGUUGACCUAGGGAUUAACUCCUUAUUCUCUUAGUGUUUGGGGAUUUGAAACAAUGCCUUACUAUCGACACAGUUUUCUCAAAAAAAGCAUACCACAACAAUUUCAGGUGUUCGUUUUCAUCAUCCUCCUUUCCAAUCCUUUUGUUACACAAAGGUUUGAUAAGAAAUCAAGGCUUACGUAGUUCUGGGUAGAAAAAUGUUUGUUUGUUGGUCGAUUUUAGCGAAAGCUAUAUUGUAUUAAUCGACGAAAACAUUGUUUUACCGAAAACAGAUGAGGAAUGGACGCAUACCACACAUCGAACGGAUUUAUAAAUAUACAUUCGAAAAAACGUCACUUAUCUCGACUCAACAAUCGUGGCCGAAACAUUGUUUUGCAUCACCUUAAGACAAUAUCUUUCAUUUAUGAAAAAGGUUUUUGAUUAAUCGCACAGCGGCGAGAAAAGAGUUCGAUUGGUUGAAUGUAUUUUCAGUGAUGGCGAGAACUUGGAUGAGCGAGAUAUCCAUCUCGAAUCCUAGUCUCAGGAGUGCACGGUAUACACCAUGUUCCAUUUCCAUCUUUAUUGGCAAAAGUGUUUAAUAAAAAUUAAGUAUUUUUAGGUUUGAUUGAGAAAGGGGUUUGAAGAAACCGCAUUGACAAUUUUAAACGAUAUGUUCCAUUUCCAUCUUUAUUGGCAAAAGUGUUUAAUAAAAAUUAAGUAUUUUUAGGUUUGAUUGAGAAAGGGGUUUGAAGAAACCGCAUUGACAAUUUUAAACGAUGGCGAGAGCUAAGAUAGGCAAGGCAUCCGCCUUGAUCUUAAUCUCAGGAGUGCAUAGUAUACACCAUGUUCCAUUUCCAUCUUUAUUGAAAGAGGUUAAGAUGGGGAUUAAGUAUUUUGGAGUUUGAAAGACGAGUAUUUGUGACUUGCAAGCUCUUACAACUUGGGUCUAAUACUCGGGACUACGUCUGGGCAUUCCACCCAGGCAGUCUGUUUCUUUCCAAUAUUGCUAAGAAAAUGGUUCGAAUAUUUACGAGUGUUUUGGAGGGAAGACGAAUAUUUAUUGCUUACAAGCUCUUACAGCUUGAGCCCAAUAUUCAGGAUUAUAACUGGAUAUUCCAUCCAGGAUAAUCUUUUUCUUCAAGUUCUAUUAAGAAGAUGGUUUGAGAUAUUUACAGAUAUUUUGGAGAGAAGACGAAUAUUUAUGGCUUACAAGCUCUUACAGCUUGAGCCUAGCAUUCGGGACUAUGACUGGAUAUUCCAUCCAGGUAAUCUUUUUCUUCCAAAUUUGCUUAAGGAAAUGGUUCGAAUAAUGGAGUGUGGGGAAGAGAAUACGAAUAUUUGUGGCUUGCAAGCUCUUACAGCUUGAGCCUAAUAUUCGGGAUUACGACUGGAUAUUCCAUCCAGGGUGUCUUUUUCUUCCAACUUGCUUAUAAAAAUGGUUUGAAAUUAAAUUUAAAAUGAUUAACGUUCAAAGGUUUGAAAUUAUUGAAAGUUAAGUUGAUGUUGCUUAAUAUCUCAUUGUAAGAAGGCCCAAGAGUAAGCCACGAGACCGAAAUUCAACCAUAAUUGAAAGCAAACUGAAUUUAGCUCUAAGCUACUUAGAGUGGAUUCAUGUACAAAUCACUCUAUAAAAAGCUGAGCAACCAAAAUCUAUGUGUCCAAGUGAUUUUCGGAAGCCAAAUAGUAUUUGAAUUUCCGAAAUCGUAAUACAAUAAAAUUGAUGCAACAAUUAACUUAAUAAUCUACUUAGAAAUUAAAAAUAAGUUAAACAAACAAACUAUAAUCAAAUAAUCAAAUUAAUAAACAAAAUUACUAAUUAAAAAAACAAAUAGGAAUAUAUAUGUGGUGUGGGGUGUAAAUUAGCAAAAUGGACUUGAAAGGCCCAAGGCCGCUCCAAAACAACCUAUAACUAAUAAAAAUAAUAUAUGAAAAAAUAUAAAAGAAAAGAAAAUUAAAAAAAACAAAAUAGAAAGAGUGGGGGAACACGUCACUUUAAAGAGGAAAGAGAUGUUUAUUUCAAAGUUUUAAGACAUCCCAAUCCACUAAUUAUGUCGUGACAUGUGGGAGGUUAAAAAGAAUCAAAAGAAAGAAAAAGAACAGCAAGAACAAAUGCUCUCCUCUCAUUAUCUCGUCAUCUCACAUCACACACAAAACAACUCUCCUCCUACCAUUUCCAAUUAAUUAUUUUUACUUCCAAGAUCCACUCAAACAAACUUUUUACAUCUCUAUUCCUCAAUUCCAAAUCUUAAAGUAAAAGAAACAAGAUUUUUGAACAAAGCUCACACUCUUGAUUUCGGGAACAGGCGAGCGACAAGCAUAAACAUACAAACGCGUUAAGAACAUAGGAAGAAAUAUAUUGUUUCAGAGCAGUGGCGGUGAUGGCAGUUGUGUUGCGUGGUGUGGUUCGCGAGACUUUUUUGGUAGUUGGUAAUGAUAUGAGUUGGUGGUAUUUAGAGAUGAUUAAUGGUGAUUUUCACAUGAGGUUCAUAUGGUGGUUUAGGUUGAUAUGUGAGAGAGGAAAGGUGGUGAUUUAUGGUGGUUCUUGUGAGCUUUAUUUAUGUAGAGAAGAAACAUGAAAGUGUGCUUAAGUAGUUAUGUAGUGACUUUCAUGGAGGUUUGGGUUGGUAUGCAAAUUUCUAUUGUUUUUUCUUCUUCUGAAAAUUGAGUGAGAUACCAUUUGGAUAAGGGGCGCCGUUUCUCUCAUUGGUGACCCCCCAUCAUGCAUUGGCCAAUGGGUUUAUAUAGUAGAAAAUGUAGGGUUUCAAUUUUAAAUAUUCCCAAAAUGUCCAUAUGAGAUAUGUUAGUGAGAUUAAAAGAGGUUAAAUAAUUACAAUGAAAUAAAUUAAAUGUUUUUUUAUAAAGACAAA